AUUGAACGCUGGCGGCAGGCUUAACACAUGCAAGUCGAGCGGAGAUGAGGUGCUUGCACCUUAUCUUAGCGGCGGACGGGUGAGUAAUGCUUAGGAAUCUGCCUAUUAGUGGGGGACAACAUUCCGAAAGGAAUGCUAAUACCGCAUACGCCCUACGGGGGAAAGCAGGGGAUCUUCGGACCUUGAGCUAAUAGAUGAGCCUAAGUCGGAUUAGCUAGUUGGUGGGGUAAAGGCUUACCAAGGCGACGAUCUGUAGCGGGUCUGAGAGGAAGGUCCGCCACACUGGGACUGAGACACGGCCCAGACUCCUACGGGAGGCAGCAGUGGGGAAUAUUGGACAAUGGGCGGAAGCCUGAUCCAGCCAUGCCGCGUGUGUGAAGAAGGCCUUUUGGUUGUAAAGCACUUUAAGCGAGGAGGAGGCUACCUGGAUUAAUACUCUAGGAUAGUGGACGUUACUCGCAGAAUAAGCACCGGCUAACUCUGUGCCAGCCGCCGCGGUAAGAC
rnacentral:rRNA from 1 species